CUGGGGAAGGGAGAAGACCAGGCAGGGUGAGACCAGGCUGCCAAGACCUCCCGCCUCUCCUCUGCAAAUGCCAGCCCCCAUGCGCACACACAGCCAGGCAGAGAGAACAGUGCACUCACCCAGGGCUCACCGGACAAGCCAGGAACUGUCAGUGUCUAAUUGUAUCAUUUGGCUGCUAAGUGAAGGAGUGAGGGAAUAGCCCCGGUGCAGGCCCACCCAACUGUCAACACAGUUCCAUGCUGGUAGGUUCUGCAGCUCAGACCUAGGACUCCUGGAUCUCCACCCUACCCCAGCAGACCUCAGGCCCGGGCUCUGACACCUACCUAGUCCCAGGCUCUCUAGUGUCCACCUCCUGCAGGAGCUCCAGGCCCUGAAACCCAGCCUGUUUGCUUGGACUCCAGAGGCCAGCAUCCUAUCAGCAUCUCUUUGCAUCAGGACUCAGCCCCUCAUCUGUCUACUUCUCCCCACCUAUGUGAUGCAGCACAAACUGCUCAUCCUGCCAGCCCAAGUGUGAACCUGCACCCAGGACAGAAAUGGCUCAUCAGACGCAGCACUGUUUCUCCCUGAA
rnacentral:lncRNA from 1 species